CAUUAAUAUCACAGCAGGCUUUAAUUCCAGCAGAAGACUCAUCACCCUUCAGCUGCCCGACAUCCAGCCUGAAGAAUAUGUUUGGAAUUAAGCAGGGAUCUUGGUUGAAAAGAACAUCAGAGCCCUGAGUCACCAUUUAAGAAGUCCGACUACCCUGCUGAAGAGAUCACAUGGAGGGGCUCUGAGACUACAGCCUGAGAGCUGUUCCCACCAAGGUGUCGGGCUUGUGAAUGAAGCCAUCUUGGAUGUUCCAGACUGGCCCAGGUCAGCUGGGGCUCUGCUCUGCAUCUUCCUCCCUCUGGAACCCUAGCUGAGUGAGUGGUCACUAUCUGGAACAUUGCUGGCCAUUGUGACAGAGGGGGCACGGAGCUCUGGAGGGUUUCACACAGACAUGCCUUUUGCCUUCCACCAUGAUUGUGAGGCCUCCCCAGCCACGUGGAACUGUGAG